rnacentral:rRNA from 1 species
UUGAAAGGGAAACGAUUGAAGUCAGUCGUACCUGUGGGUAAUCAGCCUUUUGGGUGUGAUUUUGUGGAGUGUGAGGAGUUAAACGCCUUCAUGCCUGCAUAUUCGUGCACUUUGGGUGUAUUUACCCGUGUGGUAAGUUAACAUCAAUUUCGGUGGUCAUAAAAUGGCUGGAGGAAUGUAGCUUUGAUCUCGUAUUGAAGUGUUAUAGCCUUCGGUAGAUGUGAUAAUCGGGAUUGAGGAUUGCAACGGAUACCCUUCGGGGCUACCUGUCUGAUCUCUGAUCGUUGCUCUGGUGCCGAAAGCUUGCUUACGGUUAUCAAAGUCGAUGGUCAAUAGGUUAGAACGGGUUAAAUUCGUUAAGGAUGUUGACGUA